rnacentral:rRNA from 1 species
AGGAGCUGCCUAACCAUGCAAGUCGAACGAGCUCUUCGGAGCUAGUGGCGGACGGGUGAGUAACACGUGAGAAUCUGCCUCAAGGUCGGGGACAACAGUUGGAAACGACUGCUAAUACCCGAUAUGCCGGAAGGUAAAAGAUUUAUUGCCUGGAGAGGAGCUCGCGUCCGAUUAGCUAGUUGGUAGGGUAAAAGCCUACCAAGGCGACGAUCGGUAGCUGGUCUGAGAGGAUGAGCAGCCACACUGGGACUGAGACACGGCCCAGACUCCUACGGGAGGCAGCAGUGGGGAAUUUUCCGCAAUGGGCGCAAGCCUGACGGAGCAAUACCGCGUGAGGGAGGAAAGCCUUUGGGUUGUAAACCUCUUUUAUCAGGGAAGAAAAUUUGACAGUACCUGAAGAAAAAGCAUCGGCUAACUCCGUGCCAGCAGCCGCGGUAAUACGGAGGAUGCAAGCGUUGUCCGGAAUCAUUGGGCGUAAAGGGUCUGCAGGUGGCCAUUCAAGUCUGCUGUCAAAGACCGGGGCUCAACUCCGGGAAGGCAGUGGAAACUGGGUGGCUAGAGUACGGUAGAAGUAGAGGGAAUUCUCAGUGUAGCGGUGAAAUGCGUAGAUAUUGGGAAGAACACCGGUGGCGAAAGCGCUCUACUGGGCCGAAACUGACACUGAGGGACGAAAGCUAGGAAAGCGAAAGGGAUUAGAUACCCCUGUAGUCCUAGCUGUAAACGAUGGAUACUAGGUGUAGCUUGUAUCGACCCGAGCUGUACCGAAGCUAACGCGUUAA